AGAGUUUGAUCCUGGCUCAGGAUGAACGCUAGCGGCAGGCCUAAUACAUGCAAGUCGAACGGUAAAUAUUUUAGCAAUAGAAUAUGAGAGUGACGUACGGGUGCGUAACGCGUAUGCAACCUACCCAAAACAGGAGUAUAGCUCGGGGAAACUCGGAUUAACACUUCAUAGUAUCAUUGGAAGGCAUCUUUUGGUGAUUAAAACUGAGGUGGUUUUGGAUGGGCAUGCGUCUGAUUAGCUAGUUGGUGGUGUAACGGACCACCAAGGCGAUGAUCAGUAGGGGACCUGAGAGGGUGAUCCCCCACACUGGCACUGAGAUACGGGCCAGACUCCUACGGGAGGCAGCAGUAGGGAAUAUUGGUCAAUGGAUGGAAGUCUGAACCAGCCAUGCCGCGUGCAGGAAGAAGGCCUUCUGGGUUGUAAACUGCUUUUGCCAGGGGCUAAAAGGCCCAUGCGUGGGAAAUUGAAAGUACCUGGUGAAUAAGCCACGGCUAACUACGUGCCAGCAGCCGCGGUAAUACGUAGGUGGCAAGCGUUGUCCGGAUUUAUUGGGUUUAAAGGGUGCGUAGGCGGCUUAUUAAGUCAGUGGUGAAAUAUCGCAGCUUAACUGUGAGGGUGCCAUUGAUACUGAUGAGCUUGAGUACAGAUGAGGUAGGCGGAAUUGACGGUGUAGCGGUGAAAUGCAUGGAUAUCGUCAAGAACACCUAUAGCGAAGGCAGCUUACUAAGCUGUAACUGACGCUGAGGCACGAAAGUGUGGGGAUCAAACAGGAUUAGAUACCCUGGUAGUCC
rnacentral:rRNA from 1 species